rnacentral:rRNA from 1 species
GAUGAACGCUGGCGGCGUGCCUAAUACAUGCAAGUCGAGCGAACAGACGAGGAGCUUGCUCCUCUGACGUUAGCGGCGGACGGGUGAGUAACACGUGGAUAACCUACCUAUAAGACUGGGAUAACUUCGGGAAACCGGAGCUAAUACCGGAUAAUAUAUUGAACCGCAUUGUUCAAUAGUGAAAGACGGUUUUGCUGUCACUUAUAGAUGGAUCCGCGCCGCAUUAGCUAGUUGGUAAGGUAACGGCUUACCAAGGCAACGAUGCGUAGCCGACCUGAGAGGGUGAUAGGCCACACUGGAACUGAGACACGGUCCAGACUCCUACGGGAGGCAGCAGUAGGGAAUCUUCCGCAAUGGGCGAAAGCUUGACGGAGCAACGCCGCGUGAGUGAUGAAGGUCUUCGGAUCGUAAAACUCUGUUAUUAGGGAAGAACAAAUGUGUAAGUAACUAUGCACGUCUUGACGGUACCUAAUCAGAAAGCCACGGCUAACUACGUG